rnacentral:misc_RNA from 1 species
GAGAAGAACGCAGCGAAAUGCGAUAAGUAAUGUGAAUUGCAGAAUUCAGUGAAUCAUCGAAUCUUUGAACGCACCUUGCGCCCUUUGGCUAUUCCAGAGGGCAUGCCUGUUUGAGUAUCAUGAACACCUCAACUCUCAUGGUUCUGCCAUGAUGAGCUUGGACUUUGGAGGUCUUGCUGGCCCCUGUGGUCAGCUCCUCUCAAAUGGAUCAGCUUGCCAGUGUUUGGUGGCAUCACAGGUGUGAUAACUAUCUACGCUUGUGGUUUUCCACCAGGUAACCUUCAGUGAUGGAGGUUCGCUGGAGCUCAUAAACGUCUCUCCUCAGCGAGGACAGCUUCUUGAACGUUUGAUCUCAAAUCAGGUAGGGCUACCCGCUGAACUUAAGCAUAUCAAUAAGCGGAGGA